rnacentral:rRNA from 1 species
UACGAAGGGGGCUAGCGUUGUUCGGAAUCACUGGGCGUAAAGCGCAUGCAGGCGGAUUGUUAAGUCGGGGGUGAAAUCCCGAGGCUCAACCUCGGAACUGCCUUCGAUACUGGCAAUCUUGAGUCCGGGAGAGGUGAGUGGAACUGCGAGUGUAGAGGUGAAAUUCGUAGAUAUUCGCAAGAACACCAGUGGCGAAGGCGGCUCACUGGACCGGAACUGACGCUGAUGCGCGAAAGCGUGGGUAGCAAACAGG